rnacentral:rRNA from 1 species
UACGUAGGGUGCGAGCGUUAAUCGGAAUUACUGGGCGUAAAGGGUGCGUAGGCGGUCUGACAAGUCUGAUGUGAAAUCUAUGGGCUCAACCCAUAGUCUGCAUCGGAAACUGUCGGGCUUGAGUAUGGGAGAGGUGAGUGGAAUUUCCGGUGUAGCGGUGAAAUGCGUAGAUAUCGGAAGGAACACCUGUGGCGAAAGCGGCUCACUGGACCAUUACUGACGCUGAGGCACGAAAGCUAGGGGAGCAAACAGG